AUCCAGCUGACGAGUCCCACAUAGGACGAAACGCGCGUCAAAAGUAG
rnacentral:hammerhead_ribozyme from 1 species